GAUUAAGUAAUUUAACUAUAAAUAUUAGUCUUGUAAACUAAAAUUGCUUAAAUUUAAGCCUUAAUCA
rnacentral:tRNA from 1 species